rnacentral:rRNA from 1 species
UACGGAGGGAGCUAGCGUUGUUCGGAAAUACUGGGCGUAAAGCGCACGUAGGCGGCGCAGCAAGUCAGGGGUGAAAUCCCGGGGCUCAACCCCGGAACUGCCCUUGAAACUGCAGUGCUAGAAUCUUGGAGAGGCGAGUGGAAUUCCGAGUGUAGAGGUGAAAUUCGUAGAUAUUGGGAAGAACACCGGUGGCGAAGGCGGCUAUCUGGCCCGUAAUUGACGCUGAGGAGCGAAAGCGUGGGGAGCGAACAGG